UCCCGAUGAUGAAUUGCCAUGCUAAUACUGAGCCACCAUGUAGGGCAUUCUUGCCCUAGUUUGGGUGUCAGUGAGUUUAACAAUACUUCUAACAUGGAGAUCUGAGGGAC
ensembl:snoRNA Snord8 small nucleolar RNA, C/D box 8